GGAGGAAUACCCAAGUGGCUGAAGGGGCUUGCCUCGAAAGCAAGAAGGUCGUUCAUAAACGGCGCAGGAGUUCAAAUCUCCUUUCCUCCGCCA
rnacentral:tRNA from 1 species